rnacentral:rRNA from 1 species
AUACGUAGGGGGCGAGCGUUGUCCGGAAUGAUUGGGCGUAAAGGGCGCAUAGGCGGCCCGGUAAGUCUGGAGUGAAAGUCCUGUUUUUAAGAUGGGAAUUGCUUUGGAUACUGUCGGGCUUGAGUGCAGGAGAGGUAAGUGGAAUUCCCAGUGUAGCGGUGAAAUGCGUAGAGAUUGGGAGGAACACCAGUGGCGAAGGCGACUUACUGGACUGUAACUGACGCUGAGGCGCGAAAGUGUGGGGAGCAAACAGGAUUAGAUACCCUGGUAGUCCACACUGUAAACGAUGAAUGCUAGGUGUAGGGGGUAUCGACCCCUUCUGUGCCGCAGUCAACACAAUAAGCAUUCCGCCUGGGGAGUACGGCCGCAAGGUUGAAACUCAAAUGAAUUGGCGGGG